rnacentral:rRNA from 1 species
UCGUGUCGUGAGAUGUUGGGUUAAGUCCCGCAACGAGCGCAACCCUUAAGCUUAGUUGCCAUCAUUAAGUUGGGCACUCUAAGUUGACUGCCGGUGACAAACCGGAGGAAGGUGGGGAUGACGUCAAAUCAUCAUGCCCCUUAUGAUUUGGGCUACACACGUGCUACAAUGGACAAUACAAAGGGCAGCGAAACCGCGAGGUCAAGCAAAUCCCAUAAAGUUGUUCUCAGUUCGGAUUGUAGUCUGCAACUCGACUACAUGAAGCUGGAAUCGCUAGUAAUCGUAGAUCAGCAUGCUACGGUGAAUACGUUCCCGGGUCUUGUACACACCGCCCGUCACACCACGAGAGUUUGUAACACCCGAAGCCGGUGGAGUAACCUUUUAGGAGCUAGCCGUCGAAGGUGGGACAAAUGAUUGGGGUGAAGUCGUAACAAGGUAGCCGUAUCGGAAGGUGCGGCUGGAUCACCUCCUUUCUAAGGA